rnacentral:SRP_RNA from 1 species
GCUGGGCGUGGUGGUGGGUGCCUGUAAUCCCAGCUACUCAGGAGGCUGAGGCAGGAGAAUCGCUUGAACCCGGGAGGCGGAGGUUGCAGUGAGCUGAGAUCUGAGAUCACGCUGCUACACUCCAGCCUGGGUGACAGAGCGAGACUCUGUCUCAA